rnacentral:rRNA from 1 species
UGCAAGACCUGUCCAGCGGAUGGUGCUGGUGCAUUUCCGUCUGUCUUUGAGUCGGGUUGUUUGGGAUCGCAGCCCAAAGCAGGUGGUAAACUUCAUCUAAGACUGAAUAUGACCACGAAUCCGAUAGCGAACAAGUACUGUGAAGGAAAGUUGCAAAGCACUUUGAAGAGAGAGUUAAAGAGGACGUGAAACCGAUGAGGUGGAAACGGAUAGAGCUGGCGUAUCUGGCCUGUAUUCAGCCGUGAGCUGUCUGGUGUCUAGUUUGUUGCCUUCCAGAUUGGUGCAUGAACUUGGCAUUUUGUUGGUUUGCGGUGCAUUUGCAGGUGGAGUGCGCUGAGGCGGUCGGAGCAGUGGCAUGAGCUUGGUUUUGAGGCCAUAUGCUUUGGUGUGUGGUACCCGAGCCGGGGGAGUGCUAUUUGUUCUGGCCGGAUGUGUGGAUGCUGGUCUCGGGCUCGAGUGGGCACCGAGCUGGCGGUUGGUGGCGGCCGCAUGCGACACGUGCCAGCAGUCAGUUCGGUCCUAUUCGGGCUCACAUUGCUGUCCCGCCUCGGUGUAACAGCCGGUCAUCUAUCCGACCCGUCUUGAAACACGGACCAAGGAGUUUAGCGUGUGCGCGAGUCAUUGGGCGUUGAAAACCCAAAGGCGUAAUGAAAGUGAAUGCACCCCUUGUGGGGCUGAUGUGCGAUCCAAGGUGACUACGGUUGCCAGGCGCAGCAUAGUCCCGUCCCAAUCGCAUGCGAU